rnacentral:rRNA from 1 species
GUGCCAGCCGCCGCGGUAAUACCGGCAGCCCGAGUGAUGGCCGAUCUUAUUGGGCCUAAAGCGUCCGUAGCUGGCUGCGCAAGUCCGUCGGGAAAUCCACGUGCUUAACACGUGGGCGACCGACGGAAACUGCACAGCUUGGGACCGGAAGGCUCGAAGGGUACGUUCGGGGUAGGAGUGAAAUCCCAUAAUCCCGCACGGACCACCGAUGGCGAAAGCACUUCGAGAAAACGGAUCCGACAGUGAGGGACGAAAGCUAAGAUCGCGAACCGGAUUAGAUACCCGUGUAGUCC